GGCGGCGUAGCUCAGCCGGUUAGAGCAUACGGUUCAUACCCGUAAGGUCGGGCGUUCGAUUCGCCCCGCCGCUACCA
rnacentral:tRNA from 1 species